ensembl:lncRNA
GUACUAAUGACUGGAUACAAGUACCCACAUGCAGUAAAGGUACUAAUGACUGGAUACAAGUGCCCACAUGCAGUAAAUGUACCAAUGACUGAAUACAAGUACAGGUACCUACAUGCAGUAAAGAAAUUAAUGACUGGAUACAAGUACCUACAUGCAGUGAAGGUACUAAUGACUGGAUACAAGUACAGGUACCUACAUGCAGUAAAGGUACUAAUGACUGGAUACAAGUACCCACAUGCAGUGAAGGUACUAAUGGCUGAAUACAAGUACCCACAUGCUGUAAAGGUACUAAUGACUGAAUACAAGUACCUACAUACAUUAAAGGUACUAAUGACUGGAUACAAGUACCUACAUGCAGUAAAG